rnacentral:tRNA from 15 species
UAAGGAUUAGUUUAAUUGGAAAAACGAAGAGCUUUGACUUCUUCUGCUUGGGUCCAUUCCCCACUCCUUAA